rnacentral:tRNA from 1 species
GCCGGCGUGGUGAAAUUGGUAGACGCGCUAGACUCAAAAUCUUGUAUCCGUGAGGAUGUGUCGGUUCGAGUCCGACCGCCGGCA